CAGCAGACCCCGCUGUGCCUCAUCGAUGCCAACAGCUCUCUGCCCCGGCUCUACAGCGGCUUCUACACAGUCUGGGAUGCUCCACUGAACUGAUUGCUGGAUGAAAUGUCUCGCUGCCUUGGGAUCCCCAGGAACCGUAACUUAUGGGGUCGCAGGCGAUAGGGAACACGUCACAGAAUUGGACCCAGACCUGCUUUGUAUUCAGUAAUACCCAGCAGGGCCUAAAUCCUUAUAAAGGGCUGAAUUGGACCUCUUGCACUACUGUAUCUAGCCGUGGCAAAUUUACUUACGGGAUGCUUGUGAUUACUGUGGCACCAAUACAUCAAGAAGACAGGUUUGGCUGCCUAUGGCGCAGCUGCAAAUGGUAACAACUCGACUAUAUGGUGCAAUGGCUCUGCGAAGGCAUUGCCUCCGGACAUCUUUUUGGUCUGUGGAGACAGAGCGUGGCAGGGCAUCCCCAGCCAGGAGACAGAAAAGAGCGGGGGAAGUGUGGAUGGACGGCUGACCCAGGGAGGUGAUGGUGCUCUCCAGGGGACUCGGACAAGUCGCUCGGCGACAGAGAAGGACAUUGAUGGGAGUGGGAGGGCCCUACUGAUGAACACCCAGCCUCACCGCUGCUGCAGCCCCCAGUAGUGUGGAACUUUCUGGAAAAUAAGCGGAAAACCGAUUGGAGGAGGCAGACAGCUCUGUGUUCCCACAUUCUCUGCCGCUAUUCACUACUCACAGUGCCUGGCAGCACAGCCCUCCGGCCAGACCCCCCCGAGCCUCCAAGCCCAUCCCCGCAGAGCAGCUGCACCUCACGCUGCUGAGAUCGAAGGGGAGGGGAGAAAUCAGACACCCGGGCGGCGCUGCCCAGACAGAGCGAGUGAUAAACCUUAGGAUCGUGGAAUGGCUCGGGAUGGCUGGGAGCUUAAAGCCCGGUGGUGGGAGGCUCUUCCUGAGGGCAGAGGGCUUUGGCACGGCUUCUCGCCAGGCUCCGGUGGCCACGGGACGCUGCGCAGCCGGGGG
ensembl:lncRNA